GGGGGCGGGGAGUGGGGCCGGGCGCGCGCCGGGGCGCCCCACCCCGCCUCCGCCCCCGCCCCACGCGCCGGCGGCGCGGACCUCCUUGUCAAUGGGAGCGCGGGGCCGGGCUGCCCGCAGGACGGUCAGGUGGGCCCCCCAGCUCGCUGCCAGCGCGGCCUCUGUCCCUCUCGGGCCGGCUCUCCAUCUUGUCGCCCGUAGCCCGCCUUCUCCGUGGCUCUCCAGCCGCUGGGGCCGCAGAGCCGAGGCCGGGUUACCUCAGGAAACGCGAUGUGGUAGUGGGUCGGAAUAAACCCGCGCGCCCCAGAAUUCGCCUUGGGGGCGUAAGGACAGAUUCGGACUUUUCGUUUCCUAUGUCCACAUUUAUUGAGCACCUAAUAUGUGACACCCGAGGCUGUAAGAAGAGGAACGCAGCGGGCGGAGAAAAGCCAGAGCUUUUUCUCUGUGAGCCGCUGCCUCCAGGGCCAUAGCCGACCCUGCUCCGAGAUCCCAGCCGCCGCUCUCCGUGCAGGAGGGGUGCCCACCCUGGGGAGGCCAGGGUGCCCGGAGUGGAGGGACAGGGCUUCAAGCGACCGGGAGUUUCCAGCAAACCCCUGAUCCCUGAGCAGUUUAUUUUAAAAGCUUUUGCAAAUGUUGGACGGUUUCGUUUGGUGGAGGCCGUCUUUGCACUAAAUUCUCCUGUCCUCCCCCUUCGAAACGCACAAAAUGAAUUUUGAACAGAUUUUGGAUGAGAGGUUUUCUUCCUUUUUUCAUCUUCUGAAACAUUUCCCCCUCAUUUCUUCUCAGAUAAAGACCCAGAAACCCGGGACAGUUACUCGGUGUACAGCUAGUCAAAUACUGAGGAAACCAGUCGAUAUUUGCCAAAGAUUGGGCAUGUUCUGGGUGGUCUCAGAUUUUGAAGAAACGACUUUUUUACUGCACAAAAUAGUUUUACAAUCAGUUCCAUCAGACAGCCCCAGGGGCUCUCCUAGGGAAAGGGGCCAAUAGGCAAGGUUGCAUGGGGAUAAGAGAGGCAAGCGGCCAGUGGAAAACGGUUUUUUGUUUUUUUUUUCCUAACAGUUGGGCAUUUCUGUAGCUCUGAAAGCAAACUUGUUUGUUUCAUUUCAACGAUAGAAAAAAAACACUCCUGUUUUGGAAAUGUAACCCAGCAUAAAAAUACAUUUGCAAUGGGGAAAAAGAAAGCAGUUUAGGGCCACCCAGAAGAAAAUAUUUUUUCCCUGAUUUUUUUUUAAUUUGGUAUUUCCCAGUGUGGGUUUGCCUCAUUUUACAAAUAGCUGCCCAUGUCAAGAUGUGGGUAUGUGAUUUAAAUAUUUUAAUUUGAAUCACAUUUUACAUAGUCUAGGAAACUGACAAAAGAAUCCUAUAGAGAAUUGUUUUAUAAAGUGAAUAACUGCUUCUCUACCUACCCGCCCCUCUCAUUCUUCUUUUCUGUGCGUGUUUUUGGGGGGCUGUUAUGGGAUAAAUCUUGUUUGGCUUAAAAAUCACUAAAACGCAGCCUUUCAAAUCCAAAACAGAGAGCUUAGGUACCCAACAUUCUAUAGAAUGUAUUAUUUCCUCAAGAGGUUGCUAGGAACAGUUAUGUAGAUCUACCAGGUGCAGGGAAGCACUCCACACCCUCACCCAGGUCCUGUAUCCCUGCAAGACUGCGUUGGAAAGACUGAAGAGGCUGGAGUGCAGUGGCGCAAUCUUGGCUCACAGGAACCUCCGCCUCCCAGGUUCAAGAGAUUCUCAUGCCUCAGCCUCGCGAGUAGCUGGAAUUACAGAGCUGACAAGCCAUAGCAGGACGGCUAUCCCCUGAGAGAUAGGAGAGGAGGAGAAACAGCCUGACAGGGGCCUGGAGCAGCUGGCUGGCGUCAGUAAUUUCCUGCAGGAGACUCUGCUGGCCGAGCACACAUCACCCUUCUGUUGCUCCUCUGUAUUCUCCCUUGUGCUACUAAAAUACGCUAAUGUAACUCCUGGGCUGUGCUAAGCUAAAUGCAGUUAUUUAACCUCAUUUCUAUGGAACCCAGGUCUAAAGCAGCAACAUCUAUUUGGAACAAGAUGGGGAGGAGCAAGAGUGAAUUCAUGCUCUUCUUCAUGGAGGUGGAUGUUUCUGGAAGGAGGUUUGUGAUGUCCUUUGCAGGGACAUGGAUGGAGUUGGAAGCCCUUAUCCUCAGCAAACUAAUGCAGGAACAGAAAACCAAACACUGCAUGUUCUUACUUAUAAGUGGGAACUGAAUGAUGAGAACACAUGGACACAUAAGGGGAAAUGACACACACUGGGGCCUGUCAGAGCUGAGGGGUUGUGGGGAGAGGGAGAGAAUCAGGAAUAAUGGCUAAUGUAUGCUGUGCUUAAUAUCUAGGUGAUGGGAUGAUCUGUGCAGCAAACCACCAUGGCACACGUUUACCUAUGUAACAAACCUGGACAUCCUGCACAUGUAUCCUGGAACUUAAAAUAAAAGUUGAAGAAAAAAAAAAAAGAAAAAGUUUUGUGAAGUCUGGAGGUGUAAUGGACAGACACAGGCUUAGGGUGAGGCAGGCCCAUGUUCAGAUCCUUGCUUCCUCACUAAGCUAGCAGGGAGACUGGCUAUAUCACCGAGCCUCAGUUUCCUCACCUGUACAUCUGCUGUAGAAGUGGCAUAUCAUAUGCUGUCCUGGCUGUGACCUUUGGUAGCUCAUCACUGCCCUUCUUACUGUUCUCAGGGUAAACCCCUUUCCAGGCAGAGUUGCCAAGACACCCAGUAAAAUUUGAAUUUCAGAUAAACACUGAAUAAUUUUUUAGUAUAAUGAUGCUCCAAAUAUUGCAUGGGAUAUACUUAACACUAAAAAAAAAAUCAUUGUUUGUCUGAAAUUCAGAUUUAACUGGGCAACCUGCAUUUUUAAAUAAACUUUUAAUUUUAGAAUCAUUUUAGAUUUACAGAAAAAAAUAUAAAGAUCGUACAGAGUUACCACACACCCUGCACCCAGUUUCCCCUAUAACUAAUAUCUUACGUCGAGCCAGUGCAGUGGCGCACAUUUGUAAUCCUAGCUGCUCAGGAGGCUGAGGUGGGAGUAUUGUUUGAGCCCAGGAGCUCGAGGCUGCAGUGAGCCAUGAUUGCACCAUUGCACUCCAGCCUGAGUGACGGAGUAAGAUGCCAUCUUUUAAAAAAAAAUCUUAUGCCAGUAUGAUACAUUUGUCACAAUUAAUGAACUAAGAUUGAUAUAUUAUCAUUAACUAAAGUCUAUACUUCAUUAGAUUUCCUUAGUUUUUCCCCAGUGUCCUUUUCUAUUCCAGGAUCCUGUCCAGGACACCAUAUCAUAUUUAGUUGUCAAGUCUUCCUAGUUCCUCUUGGCUGUGACAGUUUUUUAGACUUCCCUUGUUUUUGAUGACCUUGACCGUUUUGAGGAGCACUGGUCUGGGGUUUUGUAGAAUGCCCCUCAAUUCAGCCUGUCAGAUGUUUUUCUCAUGAUUAGGCUGGGGUAUUAUUUUUUUGGGAGGAAGACCACAGAGGUCAAGAGCCAUUCUCUUCACAUCUCGUUAAGGGUCUGUACUGUCCAUAUGACUUACCACUGUUGAUGUUGACCUUGAUCACCUGGCUAAGGUAGUGUUCAUCAGGUUUAGCAACUGUAUUUUCAUUUGCUAAAUCUGUAACUCGAUUCCAGGCCUGUCAGUCUUUCAUGACCAGACCUUUGCUUACUGCUGCUGCCAUUUUUCUGCUCCAACCAUAGUGAACUGCUAACAAUUCCUCUAAUGAACUAUUCUCUGUCUCUCUUACUGCCAGGCCUUAGGGCUUGCUCUUUCCUUUGCCUGGAAUGUUCCACUCCCCCACAGCCUCCCAUCCACACCUCCCCUUCACCCGAUUAACUUACUUUUCAGUUGGGCUUCAGUGUUCCGCUUAGGUCUCACUCCUUCCGGGAAGAUUUCUUGCACCCUCCUCUGCCAAGACCAGGUUAGGUGUUGCUUCUCUGCCCUGGUCCUACUGUGUUGUGAUAUUUACCAUCCUGUGGUUGUGAACUGUUUGCUUGUCUCCCUGACCCCAGUGCAUCCCUGACAUCUUACACAGUGCCUUGUUGCAACUCAAUAAAUAAUUGCUGAAUAAAUGAAUGGUUACACCAGGCACUUCAGGUAAAGCCUUUAACACACUACCUGCCUUGUAAACAGUAGAUGCUCAGUAAAUGCUUGUCUUUUUCAAUGUAGGAAAAAUAAUCUUCCCUAGAUCUGAGCAACUGUAAUAAGUUUGUGCUCGCCCGACACCCGCAACACAUGUCCCUACCUGGAGAAGAGAUUCUGGAACAGUGGUCUCCUAGGAUUCCCUGAGAGCCACAGUUACCUGUAUCAAAGUAUCAAGGAGGCCACUUAAUGACAGAGAUAUUAGGGUAAGUAGGCUACUUUCCGUCAGUUUGCAGAUUAAAAAGGCAUCUUUCUCCCAGUGGAGAAACUGAAUUAUGAACCCCUUCGCCCAGAUUUCCAUAGUUGGACGCGCUGACCCAUUAUUUUUAGUGAAAGGGACAAAGGGACCCACCUCCUUCUCUUUUUGCUGCCCAUGUGCCACACACAUGUAAAUGACAUGUGUACCUAUUGUUGCUUGUCCUUGAUGAUGAGUACACUUGUACAUUGAUAUAUUUAUUAGUGUUUUGCUUUUCACUAAUCCAGCAUAGUUGUGACCCCACCCCUGAGACCUAAAGGAAGGAGACACCUCAUAGGGGGUCUCAGGAAUCUCUGAUGAACCUUAGGACUAAUUAUAAUUCUUUCAUUUAUUAUAACUUCAUGCCAGGUAUUUUAUCUGCCUCACCUCUAAUCCUCUCAAUAACCUUGCAUGUUUUUAUUCAUCCCGUAUUACAAAUGAGAAAGCUAAGGUUUGGGUGCUUAAGAAAUUUUCCCCAAGUUUUUUUUGUGGUGGAGCCAGCUUGGAGCUAGGGCAAUAGACUUCAGAGUCUCAGCUCCAUCCUCUCCAUGGUUCAGAAAGUUCUCUAGUUCUGUAAGAGACAGCCAACAUCCCCCAAGGGCUUGUGCUCAUUGGAAUGGCUCUCGGGUCCACUCCUCCCUUUGUAUCCCCAGGUCACCUCACUAGAGCAGACCUCCAUCAGUCAGUGUUUACCCACCUUCCAGAGCCUCCUUCCUGGACUCUUGCCCCCGGAUUCCCCACCCAUAGCACUCUCACACUGCCAUCGCCCAACUCAGGAUCCCAAGAAUGCCCAUUUUCAGCCUUAUAAAUCCUUUGCCUUGCUUCCAAGACCCUAUGGUCUAUUUCUUUUCCAAGCCUUCUCUCCGUGCAUCAGAUUCUUCAUGAAACUUACACUGACUAGUCCCCCACCCAUCUCCCUUUCCUUGGAUCUUCAUGGCACCUAGGUAUGCAAGGCAUAAAGUAGUGUAGAAUGCCCUUCUGGCUUGUGUGGAACCACAGGGGAGUCCCCUGGGUUUCUAAUAUGGUUUUCCCAUCUGGAUUGACACCCCCGAAGGACAAAAACCUCUUGUUAAAAAAGUCAACUUUAUUGAGGUAUAACAUACAUACACCCUGUUUUAAGUGUUGAGUUUGAUAAGGUUUGACAAAUGUAUACACCCAGGUAACCACCGUCACAACCAAGAUAUAGAACAUUUCUAUCACCCCAGAAAUACCUCUGAGCCCCUUUGUAGUCAAUUCCUCCACCCCCGACCCAGGAAGCCACUUGUUGGAUUUCUAUUAAUAUAGAUUAGUUUUGCCUGCCGUUGAACUCCACAAAAAUGCAGUCACAAAGGGUGUAGUCUUUUGUGUCAGCCUAUUUUGGUUAGCACGAUAUUUUAAAGAUUCCUCCAUACUGUUUAUUACUUUCUUCUUGCUGAGUAGUAUUCUAUGGUAGAGACUAUACUACAACUUGAUUGUCCAUGUUGACUAAAUUUGAGGCUGUUUCACAUUUUUGGCUAUUGUGAAUAAAGUAGCUAUGAAUGUUUACACACAAGCCUUUUGUGAAUGUGUUUUCAUUUCUU
rnacentral:lncRNA from 1 species